UACGAAGGGGGCGAGCGUUGUUCGGAUUUACUGGGCGUAAAGGGCGCGUAGGCGGCGCGAGAAGUCGAGUGUGAAAGCCCCGGGCUCAACCUGGGAAUUGCGCUCGAUACUCUUGUGCUUGAGUUCGGGAGAGGAGCGUGGAAUUCCCAGUGUAGAGGUGAAAUUCGUAGAUAUUCGGAGGAACACCAGUGGCGAAGGCGGCUCACUGGUCCGGUACUGACGCUGAGGUGCGAAAGCGUGGGGAGCAAACAGG
rnacentral:rRNA from 1 species